rnacentral:rRNA from 1 species
UACGAAGGGGGCUAGCGUUGCUCGGAAUCACUGGGCGUAAAGCGCACGUAGGCGGCUUUGUAAGUCAGAGGUGAAAUCCCGGGGCUCAACCCCGGAACUGCCUUUGAGACCGCAUCGCUUGAAUCCAGGAGAGGUGAGUGGAAUUCCGAGUGUAGAGGUGAAAUUCGUAGAGAUUGGAAAGAACACCGAUGGCGAAGGCACUUUACUGGGCUAUUACUAACACUCAGAGACGAAAGCUAGGGUAGCAAAUGGG